rnacentral:lncRNA from 1 species
AGAAGAUGUAUAUAAGACGCAGGCUAAGGUUGGUGAGCACAGUCUUCCUAUCGUCAGGAUGUUGCGAGUUCUAGUAUUGUUGACAGCGGUGUGCUCCGUCCUUGCCGAGGAUGGGUUCGCCAAAAAGUACGCUUACUCAAAGGUGAUGACCAACUGCUUCGGCGAAGACCUCUACUACAGCUGGUCGAAGGAGGUGUUCAAGGCUGUCAAGGAAUGCUACGGGGG